rnacentral:lncRNA from 1 species
CUGAGAAUUGGUACAAUUAAAUUCAGCACUAUGUCUGCUACAUUGUCGUGCUUGGUUUGCCAGGAGAUGAGCUGUAGUAUUGUUGCUUCUGCAGAUUUUGUAGACUUUUCUCCCCCUUGAGAGACAAGAGUUGAUGAAGGACUGGGUGUGAGGUUUUAUCUCCCAUCUCGGUGGAUUUUGGUAGUUCUGACCAUUGAAGAAGAUAGCCAGCUGUUCAUUAUCUGUUAGUACACUUGGAUGUUGUAUGCCAAGCUUUUUGAGGAUUUGGGCAGCCAGAUCCAAAGCCGCAGCUUCAGCCAUAAUGACAGAGCCACAGUUCAUCAUCUUCGCAUUAAUGUAGAUAGUUGAGGGAGUCCCUGCAUAUGCAUUGACAAUCAAGAUUCCCAGCCCAGCAUGUCUAACAGGAUUUUCGUCGUUGUCAGGAGUGAUUGAAGCAUCUGUGUAGCAUCGUGUUCCUGAAAGAGAAGCAGGUAAUGUGAUUCUAAAAUGAUUUGGGUCUAGAUCUUCUAAUGUUCGCCUUUCUCUCCUUUCUUGGAGUUCAUUUCCUUGUUUGUCUGCAUUAAGUUCAGAUAUAGAUGUAGUUAUCUCCACUGCUGUUGAAUGAUGUACCUGCAAAACAGACCAUUUUUUGUUGUUGAAGCAAGCAUCAUUUCUCGCUUUCCAAAUAAACCAAAGUGUUAUUA